UACUGCCCUCGAGUGGGGAAUAACACCGGGAAACCGGUGCUAAUACCGCAUACGAUCACGAUGUCUUCGGAUGUUGUGAUGAAAGGAGCAAUUCGCUCUUGGAGGAGCCCGCGGCUGAUUAGCUAGUUGGUGAGGUAAUGGCUCACCAAGGCAUCGAUCAGUAGCCGGUCUGAGAGGACGGUCGGCCACACUGGAACUGAGACACGGUCCAG
rnacentral:rRNA from 1 species